AGUAUUAUAAUUCAACAGCACAUCAAGUAAUUAAAUUAACUAGCUUCUCUUACCUUUAACAGAACCGAACAACUUCUGCAACCUCCAAAAAUUUGUUUGAACCUCAAGAAAAUCCUAAGAACACCUAAGAACCACCGAUUGAUGAAAGAAGACCAACCGUAGAACCAAAAUGAAAUCAGAAAAGGAAGAAGGAAAAUGUGGAACACAUGCAAACAGAAUUGUUCCUUGCAUGCAACAAAACUAGAAAUUACCAAAAACCAAGGAACGAAGCUUAGCAGUUCUAAACACUAAAACAAUCGGUGAAACAGGAAGCCCUUGACGGCAAGAUUACUUAGGUGCCCCCUGAUCGUCGAAUAGAUGAACCCCCGG
rnacentral:lncRNA from 1 species